rnacentral:rRNA from 1 species
AACGAACGCUGGCGGCAGGCCUAACACAUGCAAGUCGAGCGAACCCUUCGGGGUUAGCGGCGGACGGGUUAGUAACGCGUGGGAAUAUGCCCAAAGGUACGGAAUAGCCUCGGGAAACUGAGAGUAAUACCGUAUGUGCCCUUCGGGGGAAAGAUUUAUCGCCUUUGGAUUAGCCCGCGUUGGAUUAGGUAGUUGGUGGGGUAAUGGCCUACCAAGCCGACGAUCCAUAGCUGGUUUGAGAGGAUGAUCAGCAACACUGGGACUGAGACACGGCCCAGACUCCUACGGGAGGCAGCAGUGGGGAAUCUUAGACAAUGGGGGAAACCCUGAUCUAGCCAUGCCGCGUGGACGAUGAAGGCCUUAGGGUUGUAAAGUCCUUUCAGCUGGGAAGAUAAUGACGGUACCAGCAGAAGAAGCCCCGGCUAACUCCGUGCCAGCAGCCGCGGUAAAGUCUGUACU